rnacentral:rRNA from 1 species
UACGUAGGCAGCAAGCGUUGUUCGGAAUUACUGGGCGUAAAGGGUGCGUAGGUGGUGCUUCAAGUUUGGUGUGAAAUCUCCCGGCUUAACCGGGAGGGUGCGCCGAAAACUGAGGUGCUCGAGUGUGGGAGAGGUAAGCGGAAUUCCUGGUGUAGCGGUGAAAUGCGUAGAUAUCAGGAGGAACACCAGCGGUGUAGACGGCUUACUGGACCAUUACUGACACUGAGGCACGAAAGUGUGGGGAGCAAACAGG